GACGUAGGGCGCGAGCGUUGUCCGGAUUUAUUGGGCGUAAAGAGCUCGUAGGCGGUUUGUCGCGUCUGCUGUGAAAACCUAAGGCUCAACCUUGGGCUUGCAGUGGGUACGGGCAGACUAGAGUGCGGUAGGGGUGACUGGAAUUCCUGGUGUAGCGGUGGAAUGCGCAGAUAUCAGGAGGAACACCGAUGGCGAAGGCAGGUCACUGGGCCGGCAACUGACGCUG
rnacentral:rRNA from 1 species